rnacentral:ribozyme from 1 species
AUGGUUCUGGUAAUUAUCAUUUUUUUUUUUUUUUUUUUUUUUUUUUGUGAAUGGAUGAAUAAUAAUGGGGGAAAAAAAAAAGGGGGGGAUGAAAAACAGGAGGAGGGGAAAGGGGGAUAGAGAAGGAGAUGGAGGAAAUUGGGGGAAGAGCGGGGUUAGUGGUUACCGUGUUUGGAUUUUUUUUGUUUUUUUUCAUUUUUGUGAAUCGAUACCACAAAAUUCAACCAAAUCCAACUGAAAUUUGGGCUUUUUUGACUUUUUUU